GGGACGCAGUUUUUUAUCCGGGAGAGGUUUGAAGAGAAAGAAGAAAAGAAUAAAAUGCUGUGUCUUAGGCUUCCUAUUCGACUAAAUCGAAUGUUCAAUAACCUUAACUACAAUGUCUCAGUUUCGUUUCACUACGUAAGUCUAUCUCUUUCGAUCUCUUAACAUAGUGAAAUUCUUUUCUGUUCAUUUUCACUCAUAAUUCUCUUCACAUUUUUUUUUCUUCAUUGUUUUUUCAUGGCUUAUCAUUUCUCUUUUGGUUCUUCAUUGUACCCAAAGCUUCCAUCUUUAAAACCCAAACCUCAAAACCCAUUUUUCUUCAGCUCUUACCCUUCAAUUUCUUGUCAAAUUUAUAGCUCUAAGAGCAAUAGUUCCGAUGAUGAUGAUAAAACCAAGAAAACCCAUUUCAAUUUUGUUGCUUUACCCAUUACUCUUACUAUAAUCUCCACUUCAUUUCCACAACAAAGUUCUCUUGCUGCAGUUAAAGUAUCUGAUAGGAAAAAAACUCAGAAAAAAACUCAAGAAGCUUUGACCCCUGAGCAGAUAAAACAAUGGUCGAAAAAUCUUCCAGUUGUAACCAACCGGAUUCCAUAUACUGAAAUUCUCAGUUUGAAACAUGAGGGAAAGCUUAAACAUUUAAUUAAGCCGCCUAGUGCUAGUUUGAAGCAAAGGGCAGAGCCAGUUUUAGUAGUUUUAGAAGAUUCUAGGGUGUUAAGAACUGUUUUGCCUUCAAUAGAUAGUGAUAGGAAGUUUUGGGAUUCAUGGGAUGAGUUAAAGAUUGAAUCUUUGUGUGUUAAUGCAUAUACACCUCCAAUUAAGAGGCCUGAGGUGCCUUCUCCUUAUUUGGGAUUUUUAUGGAGGGUGCCUGCAUUUAUGUUGUCGUGGUUUAAGCCGAAGAAGGAGUCCAAAAGGGCGCUGGAAAUUAGGAGACAAAGAGAGGAGUUUAAGAGGCAAAAAAAGGAGGAGUUGGCGAGAAUGAGGGAAGAGAGAGAGAUGAUUGAAAAGAUUAUGAAGGCGCAGAAGAAGGAGGAUGAGAGGAGAAAGAAGCGAGAGAUUAGGAAGAGGAAGUAUGAGGAGUCAUUGCGUGAUGCUAGAAGGAAUUAUCAAAGUAUGGCAAAUAUGUGGGCCAGUUUAGCUCAGGAUUCAAAUGUUGCAACUGCGCUUGGAUUGGUGUUCUUUGUGAUAUUUUAUAGGACAGUGGUGCUUAGUUACAGAAAGCAGAAGAAGGAUUACGAGGAUAGGUUGAAGAUUGAGAAGGCAGAGGCAGAAGAGAGAAAAAAGAUGAGGGAGUUGGAGAGGGAACUGGAAGGAAUUGAGGGGGAGGAUGAUGAGGCUGAGCAAGGGGGAGGUGAGCAGAAUCCUUAUUUGAAGAUGGCUAUGCAAUUCAUGAAGUCAGGAGCACGUGUGCGGAGAGCACAAAAUAAGAGACUGCCACAGUAUUUGGAGAGAGGAGUGGAUGUCAAGUUCUCAGACGUUGCAGGUCUUGGCAAAAUCCGGCUUGAGCUUGAGGAAAUAGUCAAAUUUUUCACACAUGGGGAGAUGUACCGAAGAAGAGGAGUAAGAAUACCAGGUGGAAUACUUCUUUGUGGCCCUCCUGGGGUUGGGAAAACUUUACUAGCAAAAGCUGUAGCUGGUGAAGCAGGUGUAAACUUCUUCUCCAUAUCUGCUUCUCAGUUUGUGGAAAUAUAUGUUGGGGUUGGUGCAUCCCGUGUCCGAGCACUUUAUCAGGAAGCAAAGGAAAAUGCCCCUUCAGUCGUAUUUAUUGAUGAGUUGGAUGCUGUUGGAAGAGAGCGUGGUUUAAUCAAAGGUUCUGGUGGACAAGAACGUGAUGCAACCUUAAAUCAGCUUCUGGUAUGCUUGGAUGGUUUUGAAGGAAGAGGAAAUGUUAUCACUAUUGCUUCCACAAAUAGACCAGACAUUCUAGAUCCUGCACUUGUGAGACCUGGACGGUUUGACCGAAAAAUCUUUAUCCCCAAACCUGGACUCAUAGGUCGCAUGGAAAUUCUUCAGGUUCAUGCUCGUAAGAAGCCAAUGGCUGAGGAUGUGGACUAUAUGGCUGUUGCAAGUAUGACAGAUGGAAUGGUUGGUGCUGAGCUGGCAAACAUAGUUGAGGUUGCUGCAAUUAAUAUGAUCCGUGAUGGAAGGACUGAGAUUACAACUGAUGAUUUGCUCCAAGCAGCACAAAUAGAAGAAAGGGGUAUGCUAGAUAGGAAGGAGAGAAGUCCAGAGACAUGGAAACAAGUGGCUAUAAAUGAAGCGGCAAUGGCUGUUGUAGCUGUGAACUUUCCUGAUCUCAGAAAUAUCGAAUUCGUAACAAUUGCUCCUAGAGCAGGUAGGGAAUUAGGUUAUGUUCGGAUGAAAAUGGAUCAUAUCAAAUUUACGGAAGGAAUGCUAAGUCGACAAUCCCUCCUUGAUCACAUAACUGUGCAAUUAGCACCCCGUGCAGCAGAUGAACUUUGGUUUGGUGAGGGUCAGUUGAGUACAAUAUGGUCUGAAACAGCAGACAAUGCUAGGUCAGCAGCAAGGAUGUUUGUUCUUGGUGGCCUUUCUGAGAAACAUCAUGGAUUGUCCAACUUCUGGGUUGCAGAUCGAAUUAAUGAGAUAGAUUCGGAGGCAUUGCGGAUAGUGAACAUAUGCUACGAGCGAGCCAAAGAGAUCUUACAGCAGAACCGAAAGCUGAUGGAUGCAGUGGUUAAUGAACUGGUUGAGAAAAAGAGUUUAACAAAACAAGAAUUCUUUGGACUUGUGGAAUUGCAUGGGUCACUUCAGCCAAUGCCACCCAGUAUAGUUGACAUUAGGGUUGCCAAGCGAACUCAGUUCCAAGAAAUGAUGAUGAACCCCAAUGUGAAGGUUACAGGGAGGAGUUCUUCAUAAACCACCACCUAUCUACUUCCUAUUCACAUGUAUAACUUUGCAUCAAUCACUUCCAGUUCAUACGAUCAGGUUUGAUUAUUUGUGCUUGAAGUUUUCAUUACUAAUUAACUAAUAAUAUAUACAGAUUAAAGAGAAAAAUCAAAGGGUUCAAUGAGUUAAUAGGAAAUGUAAAAUACUGAUGGUCUAUUUGGACACUAUUGACUAGUGGGAUGAAAGUGCAAUUAUUAGAUUAAUGAAUUUUAAUUCUAUUGGCA